GAUGAACGCUGGCGGCGUGCUUAACACAUGCAAGUCGAACGAUGAAGCCCAGCUUGCUGGGUGGAUUAGUGGCGAACGGGUGAGUAACACGUGAGUAACCUGCCCUCAACUCUGGGAUAAGCCUGGGAAACUGGGUCUAAUACCGGAUAGGAGCGCCUACCGCAUGGUGGGUGUUGGAAAGAUUUAUCGGUUUUGGAUGGACUCGUGUCGUAUUAGCUUGUUGGUGGGGUAAUGGCCCACCAAGGCGACGACGGGUAGCCGGCCUGAGAGGGUGACCAGCCGCACUGGAAGGGAGACACGCCCCAGAGGCCUAAGGGAGGCCGCAGUGGGCAAUCGGGGACAAGGGGCGGAAAACUUAUCCAGACAGACAGAGUGGGUGAAGAAGGCCUCCGGGUUGGAAAGCCCGUCUGUCGGGUAAGAAACGCCUUAGGUUAAUAAAGAGCGGUAAUGACGGGACCCAAAGAAUAAGGACCGGCUAAAUUCGUG
rnacentral:rRNA from 1 species